ensembl:lncRNA
CUGGGGGCUCAUCUUUCCAGUCCAGGAUUCCUGGGCUGAGAAGCUCAAUUUAGGGCUCAGUGCUCUUGCUUUUAGGGGAGAAAGUCUGCCAUGUAAUUAUUCUCUUAGCUUGUGGGUUGCCCACCCAGUGGUAUAACAUUUAAUUAUAGUGCAAGUCUGCCCCUCCUACCCAUUUCAUCAGGUUUCUUCUUUAUGUCUUUAGUUGUAGAAGAUCUUUUCUGGUGGGUCCUGGUUGUCCUGUGGAUAGUUGUGAUUUUGCUGUACUCGCGAGAGGAGAUGAACUCAGCAUCUUUCUACUCCACUGUCUUGGCCAGUCUUCUCAGAUAUCUGGAAGUAGCUGUAGCAGAAGGAUCUUACUGUGGAAUAUGGAGUCUUCCUCUGGUAAAUUGAAAACGGUACCUCCCCUCUGUGAAUCUACCACCCUCCACAUGCUUGGCCCGGAUGCCGUACACCUGCUCAGCGUCAGCCGGAACCCACCGGAGCAUAUGGCAGCUCGCAUAUUGCCUCAUCCCAGGAUGGGUUGGGAACGCUGGUCACCUGGGCUCUGUUUUCAAGUGGUAUGACAGCAGCUGUGGGAAGCCCAGAGAAUGACAGGCUCUCACUGCUCUUCUUACCAGUGGGAAAGAAGAGCGAAGAGAACAGAAGGGAGAUGUUUUCAGAUACCCAGCAGCUAUGACUUGACUGCUCUGUAAAAGAACACACCACUCACUGGCUUUCCCCACUGUGAGCAGGUGCAAUAGAAGGGAAACCCUGAUUUUUUUCCUUAAACUGCUAGUCAAUUGUAGUUGACAGAAUUAUGGCCACUAAAGAGAUUUAAUCUCUAAUUCCCAGUACCUGUGACUAUGUUAUUUUAUGUGGCAAAGCAGAUUAGACAGCAGAUAGACUUAAGGUUUCUGGUCAUGUGCCUUUAAAAUAGGAACAUUAUUCAGAUAACCUGGGUGGGAUCAUUGUAAUCACAAGUGUCCUUAAACGGGGAAAAGAAGGCAGGAAAUGUCAGAGUAAUGCUAUGUGAGGACUCGACCUAUUGUUGCUGGCUUUGAAGAUGAAGGAAAGGGGCCACUAGACAAGUAAUAUGGGCAGCCUCUAAAGCCUGGAAAGGGCAAGAAAUAGAUUCUCCCCUAGAACUUCCAGAAAGGUGCACAUCCCAGCCCCAUGCCUUGAUUUUAACCCAAUGUGACCCAUGUUGGAACUGUGAACCUAGAAACUAAUAGAAUAAUGUGUCUUGUUUGUCAUAAUAAUUGUCAUAACAGCAAUAAGAAACUGAUAAGUGGAGUGCUGGCUUGAGUGGUGGCUCUCAAUUUUAGAGUGUAUUAAAGACAGCUGGGUAACUUUUAAAAGUCCUCAGGUGGGACCAUACCCCAGAGCAGUCAUAUCAGAAUUUCUUUAAGUGGGACCCCAAAAUCAGAAUUUUAUAAACUGCCUGGUGAUUUAAGGGCAGAAGCAAAGUUGAUGAUUUAGUGGAUAGAACCCCAAAAGUGUUUGGAGACAAGAAAGCUGAGUUCAAAUUCCAUUUCUAUCAUUUCAAGAUUGAGCUCAGUUUAUUUCACCUACACAUGAAGUGCA